GUGCUGAAUUGUCUCUGGAGAGCAACUUUCCUGACUUCAUUGGUGAAAUUGUAGCCUUUUGAUUCAAGACACUGCUAUUAGUUUCUGUGUCUUUUAGAUGAAAUUUCAAGAGAGAAUUUUGAGACUACUGGCCAGCCAGUAGCUUGCCUCUUCCUUCCUCUGUUCCUCAGCCACAGCUAACUGCAGGUUCCCCUAGGCUUACUCAGAAGGAACAAUGGACUGAGCACAGGGCAAGCUAAAAGGGAUGUUGAGCUUGGGUAGAGCCUGGAUCAGAGUAGCACUCAUGGAAAAACAUUUAUCUGAAUACAUCUCUACAGCUCUGAGAGACUUCAAAACAACCAGGAGAUUUUAUGAAGAUGGAGCAAUUGUCUUGGGUGAAGAAGCAAAUAUGCUUGCCGGCAUGCUUCUAGGACUCAAUGCUAUUGAUUUCAGUUUCUGCCUAAAGGGAGAGGGGCUGGAUGGCAGUUUUCCUGCUGUAAUAGACUAUACACCAUAUUUGAAGUAUAUCCAAAGUUCUGAUAGUAUCAGCAGUGAUGAGGAGGAGCUAAGGACUUUGGGAAGCAGUGGUAGCGAAAGCAGUACUCCAGAGA
rnacentral:sRNA from 1 species